rnacentral:rRNA from 1 species
GAUGAACGCUAGCGGCAGGCUUAAUACAUGCAAGUCGUGGGGCAGCGCAGGUAGCAAUACUGGGCGGCGACCGGCAAACGGGUGCGGAACACGUACACAACCUUCCGAGAAGUGGGGAAUAGCCCAGAGAAAUUUGGAUUAAUACCCCGUAACAUAACGAUGUGGCAUCACAUUGUUAUUAUAGCUUCGGCGCUUCUUGAUGGGUGUGCGGCUGAUUAGAUAGUUGGCGGGGUAACGGCCCACCAAGUCUACGAUCAGUAGCUGAUGUGAGAGCAUGAUCAGCCACACGGGCACUGAGACACGGGCCCGACUCCUACGGGAGGCAGCAGUAAGGAAUAUUGGUCAAUGGACGCAAGUCUGAACCAGCCAUGCCGCGUGAAGGAUUAAGGUCCUCUGGAUUGUAAACUUCUUUUAUCUGGGACGAAAAAAGGCGAUUCUUCGUCACUUGACGGUACCAGAUGAAUAAGCACCGGCUAACUCCGUGCCAGCCGCCGCCGUAACAC